ACAAAGAAAGCACUCCAGAGCCCCGGAAGAGGAAGAAGUUACUUCCGGAUCAGAGGACUGGCCAAGGUUUCGUGACAACAGAGACGUCUGAGUCAGAUCUUGGGGGCUGGCAGGAUUUUUGUGGUCAGAAGCGGAUGUCGCAUGGGCUGUGACUGGGCUCCUGGCUGGGGAGCUGCUUGCCCCUGCGGGGAGAGGUGAACAGCCCAGCAGGCUGGAACAGGAGCUCCUUGAGGAGCAUAGGUGGGGACAGAGUGCAGGCUGCAAGGGAGCUCCAUCCACAGUCACUGCUGCGGGCUUGGACAUGCCUGGCAGACUUCAAAGCGGAGACAGUGAGAAGAGAGUUGGAUAUGUGCCUGAAACCUGGGAGAAAGGUCUGCGCUAGAGAUACAACCUUGGGAACCACCUGCAUACCCGUGGUAUCUGGAGAUCACCAGAGGGAACGAGGGCAGAUGGAGAAGAGGACCCGGAUGGAAGCCAAAACGCUCAAAGGCAGGCUGAAAAAAGACCUUUUGGGUAAGGGAAGGUGCAAGUGGAGCCGACACAGAUGACUUCUGUGUGCCUGGAUUUGAGAGGGGACCAGCAAUAGAUUCCUCAUGAGGCUCCACCAGGCUUUAAGGUGCAUCAUACAGGACAACAGGCUUCAGACUUUCUCGACUGUGACCAUUUCACAGGACUCAGAUGACUCCAUCUUCACUUGGAACCAGAAGUUCCACACCGUUUUUGCUUAUGCCGGACGCUGCAUUCUGACGCAUUUAUUAAAAACCUACCCUACACCAGACGACGUGCUAGCUGCCGAGACAGUGAAGCCAAAACCAAGGACAGAGAGCUGAGCCAACAAUUUUACGCUGCAGUCCUUCACACACCUCCCCCUCCAUCCCCAGCCUGCCGAAACACAGAUACAGAACGGAUAUUGAAGAAAUCUUGUGCAAACAGAAGUUUAAAUAAAGCUAAGCAGUUCAGACAAGAGCUAAUCCAAACCAUCACAGGGGUGCAUUUGUGUGGCGGCCAGAUCAGUGCCAACACUAACAUCCUCAGCUCCCUUGAAUCCUGUGAAUUCUGUCUGCAGAAUGUGCUUACAAGGCUGGGAGACAUCGGCCUGCUUCAGAUCAGGAGCUGGCAUGCCCUGGUUGCCCAUGGCAACCCAGCUGCACGGGAGUGCUAG
rnacentral:lncRNA from 13 species